UACGGAGGGUGCGAGCGUGUCCGGAUUUAUUGGGUUUAAAGGGUGCGUAGGUGGGUUAAUAAGUCAGUGGUGAAAUACGGUUGCUCAACAAUCGAGGUGCCAUUGAUACUGUUAAUCUUGAAACAAGUGGAGGUUGCCGGAAUGGAUGGUGUAGCGGUGAAAUGCAUAGAUAUCAUCCAGAACACCGAUUGCGAAGGCAGGUGACUACGUUUGAUUUGACACUGAGGCACGAAAGCAUGGGGAGCAAACAGG
rnacentral:rRNA from 1 species